rnacentral:rRNA from 1 species
UAAUACGUAGGGUGCGAGCGUUAAUCGGAAUUACUGGGCGUAAAGCGUGCGCAGGCGGUUUUAUAAGCCAGAUGUGAAAGCCCCGGGCUCAACCUGGGAAUGGCAUUUGGGACUGUAAGGCUGGAGUAUGGCAGAGGAGACUAGAAUUCCUGGUGUAGCAGUGAAAUGCGUAGAUAUCAGGAGGAAUACCGAUGGCGAAGGCAGGUCUCUGGGCCAAUACUGACGCUCAUGCACGAAAGCGUGGGGAGCAAACAGGAUUAGAUACCCUGGUAGUCCACGCCCUAAACGAUGUCAACUGGUUGUUGGGGGAUUUAUUCUCUUAGUAACGAAGCUAACGCGUGAAGUUGACCGCCUGGGGAGUACGGUCGCAAGAUUA